UUCACAGUUAACAUAGUUUGCAUCUUAUAUUUAAGAUACAGCCUAAUGAAAUGUCGACAUUCACGAUUGUUCCUCAGUAAUGUAAUACUAAUGCUAAAUCAUGUACUAGGAUCUAUAAAUCAAGAUUUGAGAUUACAAUGCUUUGCUGAUAACUUUACCUGUUUUGACAACAACGGUUACAUUUGUAAAUGUAAAUUUUCAUUUAGUUCACAGAGGACAAAUAUAUAGGAAGGGGACCUGGUGGACAAAGGUUAAAAAGGGAUAUGGUGGACAGAGAUGUGGAAGAAGGAUGUGAUUGAGGUGUAGAAAGAAUGCAGUGUGGACAGAGACACAGGGUGAAGACAGGGUGGACAGAAACACAGGGUGAAGACAGGGUGGACAGAAACACAGGUGAAGACAGGGUGGACAGAGACACAGGCUGAAGACAGGGCGGACAGAGACACAGGUGAAGACAGGGUGGACAGAGACACAGGGUGAAGACAGGGCGGACAGAGACACAGGUGAAGACAGGGUGGACAGAGACACAGGGUGAAGACAGGGUGGACAGAGACACAGGGUGAAGACAGGGUGGACAGAAACACAGGGUGAAGACAGGGUGGACAGAGACACAGGGUGAAGACAGGGUGGACAGAGACACAGGGUGAAGACAGGGUGGACAGAGACAUAGGGAGAGGACACUGGACACAGGUGAAGGAAGAGAACAUGGCGAAGGGAGCCGAAAUAAUGGACAAAUCUAUAGAAAGAGAGAUGGUGGACAGUGAUGUAGAUGGAGGAUGAGAAAGAGUACAGUGUGGACAGAGACAAAGGAAGACACAUUUUGGUACACCGAAAUGUUUGUGGAGGAUCGAGUGGACAGAUGUAUUGGAAGAGGACAUAUGGACACAGUCACACAGUAGGAAUACAAUGUGGACACCAGUGAAGGAAAAAGGACAUCACAGACUAAAGUACAGAAAACGAGGGGACAUUGUGAUGAACAGUGAUGUAGAAGGAAGGUGUUAUGGAGGAUGUACAAAGAGUAGAAUGUGGAGAAAGACAAAGACAAUUGGACAAAAAUGGUAGGAGGGGACAGAGUAGACAGAUGUGUUGGAGGAAGACACGUGGACACAAGCAAAAAGAUUAGGACAUUAUGGACAAAUGUACAGAAAGAGAGAGAGAACAUGUGGACGAUGAUCUAGAAGGAGUAUGCGAUAAAGAUGCAAAGAUAGUAUAUGGACAGAGAAAUUUUGGGACAGAUCAGACAUAUAAGAAGAGGACAUGUGGACACAUAAGAAGAGAGAGGACAUUAUGGACAAAGAUAUAGAAAAAGAAAAUGCAUGUUGGACAGAAGCACAGGACACAGUGGCUUAAAUAGUAGACAUGUUGCAAGAUAAUAGGCUAAAAAUCUGAGGCGUGAGAGCAGUAGCAGGAAAAACAAUUUCCCAGUGUUUCAGGAGACUGUAUCAAAGGCUGGAUGUCAGUGCUUAUACCAGGGUAGGCCGGCUCAUUAAUGCUCUGACUGUGUGUUUCUUCAGCUCUGAGGGAAGGAGAGGGACAGCUCAAAGAAGAACUGCAUUGUACCACAGCCUUCGUCAUAAUAAUCACUCACCACUGGACACAGUCAGUGGACACGUACACACAGGCUGUUCAGCCUUAGUGCGAGCUGAUUGUUGGCCAUCUGUGAGACGUGGGUCCAGAUUCAAUGAUAUGAUUACUACUUGGACAAAAUGCAUUAUCUGGAACAUUAUCUUCAGUGUGGUGUCAAUAAGAGUUUAUUAAGUCAGUGUUAAUGCGUCAGCGCUCACAUAAGCUGAUGAAUACAUAAAACUGUUGACAUAAAAAUAUUGACUGCUGUCUAAAACGUCCUAUGUUGUGUAAGUAUCAGACACUUCAGUCUGACUUAGAGCAGUGUAUUAUGAGCUGUGGGUUGGAGAGGAACUUGUGCAAAGAAUGUUAAUGAUUGUGAAUUUAUAUCAUUUUUAGAACUAUAAGACAUUUAAGUUUGUUGGGGAGCUUAACCAAUAUUUACAUAUUAUUGGCAUGACGUGCAACAAUUGUGCCACCAAUAACAGCAUUGCUUCUCAGCGGCAGCACUCCUCACAAGCUGCAUGCAAAAACAAACAAUACCACGAUCUGUGUGGUCAGAUGUGUGCAGUCUGAAAGUUCCUUUAAAUGGAUUGUUCAAAAGU